GAUGAACGCUAGCGGCAGGCUUAACACAUGCAAGUCGAGGGGUAGAAGGAGCUUGCUCCUUUGAGACCGGCGCACGGGUGCGUAACGCGUAUGCAAACUACCUUGUACAGGGGAAUAGCCCAGAGAAAUUUGGAUUAAUGCCCCAUAGUAUAUAACCUUCGCAUGGUGGUUAUAUUAAAGUUCCAACGGUACAAGAUGAGCAUGCGGCCCAUUAGUUAGUUGGUAAGGUAACGGCUUACCAAGACGAUGAUGGGUAGGGGUCCUGAGAGGGAGAGCCCCCACAGUGGUACUGAGACACGGACCAGACGCCUACGGGAGGCAGCAGUGAGGAAUAUUGGGCAAUGGACGCAAGACUGAACCAGCCAUGCCGCGUGCAGGAAGACGGUCCUAUGGAUAGUAAACUGCUUUUAUACAGGAAGAAACCCUCCCACGUGUGGGAGCUUGACGGUACUGGAGGAAUAAGGAUCGGCUAACUACGUG
rnacentral:rRNA from 1 species